UACGUAGGAUGCAAGCGUUGUCCGGAAUUAUUGGGCGUAAAGCGUGCGCAGGCGGCUUUGCAAGACAGAUGUGAAAUCCCCGGGCUCAACCUGGGAACUGCAUUUGUGACUGCAUGGCUAGAGUGCGGCAGAGGGGGAUGGAAUUCCGCGUGUAGCAGUGAAAUGCGUAGAUAUGCGGAGGAACACCGAUGGCGAAGGCAAUCCCCUGGGCCUGCACUGACGCUCAUGCACGAAAGCGUGGGGAGCGAACAGG
rnacentral:rRNA from 1 species